rnacentral:rRNA from 1 species
AUUGAACGCUGGCGGCAGGCCUAACACAUGCAAGUCGAGCGGAGCGGCGGACGGGUGAGUAAUGCCUAGGAAUCUGCCUGGUAGUGGGGGAUAACGUCCGGAAACGGGCGCUAAUACAGCAUACUAUCAGAUAAGCCGAGGUCGGAUUAGCUAGUUGGUGGGGUAAAGGCCUACAAAGGCGACGAACCGUAACUGGGGUGAGAGGAUGAUCAGUCACACUGGAACUGAGACACGGUCCAGACGCCUACGGGAGGCAGCAGUGGGGAAUAUUGGACAAUGGGCGAAAGCCUGAUCCAGCCAUGCCGCGUGUGUGAAGAAGGUCUUCGGAUUGUAAAGCACUUGAAGUUGGGAGGCGUUACCAACAGAAUAAGCACCGGCUAACUUCGUGCCAGCAGCCGCGGUAAUAC